rnacentral:rRNA from 1 species
UACGUAGGUGGCAAGCGUUGUCCGGAAUUAUUGGGCGUAAAGCGCGCGCAGGCGGUCCCUUAAGUCUGAUGUGAAAGCCCACGGCUCAACCGUGGAGGGUCAUUGGAAACUGGGGGACUUGAGUACAGAAGAGGAAAGCGGAAUUCCACGUGUAGCGGUGAAAUGCGUAGAGAUGUGGAGGAACACCAGUGGCGAAGGCGGCUCACUGGUCCGGUACUGACGCUGAGGUGCGAAAGCGUGGGGAGCAAACAGG